UACGUAGGGUGCAAGCGUUUAAUCGGAAUUACUGGGCGUAAAGCGAACUAGGCGGUGUUCCAUGUCAGAUGUGAAAGCCCCGGGCUCAACCUGGGAAUUGCAUUUGAGACUGCGUAGCUAGGGUGCGGAAGAGGGAAGCGGAAUUUCCGGUGUAGCGGUGAAAUGCGUAGAUAUCGGAAGGAACACCAGUGGCGAAAGCGGCUUCCUGGUCCAGCACCGACGUCAGGCACGAAAGCGUGGGGAGCAAACAGG
rnacentral:rRNA from 1 species